UCACAAGAUAGAACACCAGAUAUGCAAUUUCGAGGACGAAAUUUUAAUAAGGAGGGAGGAAUGUAACACCCCGCUUUUUCCUAGCUAAAUUUAGAGUAAUUUUGAACUUAGAAGUCGGGAGGAUUCACGCCGGAUAUAAAGAAAAUGAAUUUAUUUUUAAUUCCAACAAAAAUAAUUUACAAAAACAUUUGUAAAUUUAGUUAUUGAAUUUAUGUGCGUCGCAUAUUUAUUUAAAGCAUUUUCACGAGCUUUUAGUCAACAAACCCUGAAGAAUUAUUACAGUUUUUAUAGUACAACCCGGAAGAUUUUUUUUAUUUUAUUUUAUUUUAUUCCACUACUCCCACCUACUCUCCACCUUUCCUCCCACUUUCCCUUCCACUACUCCCACCACCAACUUCCACUGCACCUUUCCUUCCACUUAUUCCAUCAACCACCGACUCCCUCACAAUUUUAUAUCACCUUCCCUUUACACCACUAUACCAACUAAAACAUUUUAUAUCAGCUAAGGGAAGCUUUAACUCUGUUUCAAACAAAUCACCACAAUUUAUUCUCACAAGAAAAACGCAGAUGGAGGGCCUUAUUCACCAAAUUCCCUCUUUCAAGAACAGAACUUGAACUUACAAAGUUUUUGUUGCUGCAUGCUUUCACACCACAAGAAGCUUGGUUUUAAAGGACUCUCCCUCAACAGAUCAACAAAUCAGUAUCACAAGGCUUUGUGACCAGGGGGAUUAGCGCUGCUUCCCAAGACAGGUUUAUAUGUGAUUAUGAUCUUCAGGCUUUGCCUAACCAGGUUGAGCAGUUGAUGGAAUGGAAUGAUGUUGAGCGGGUGUUCCUUUGACAUUUCAAGAAAUGUAACCUUGAGGAUACAUCUUCAUAUGUAUAUCUCACACGUUUUUCCGCUGCAAAACACUUUGAUUAGGAUAACUCUAUGUUAUGAAGUUGUGACACGUGUUAUUGGGUAACCCACCUUAAUCAGUUCUCCUUUAUGUGUAUGUGUUAUAAGUAUCCAAAUGAUCAUAUAUGAUCAUAGUUUUUUUUAUUUAUGAGUGACAUUUCCAUAUACUUUAAUGUUAAGUAAUUGUCCAUUUCCAUUUCUUAUUGUUCACCCCA